rnacentral:lncRNA from 1 species
UGGGCCUUAUGCUAAUUUUAUUUAAUUUUUCUUAGUCUAUAUUAGGAUUUUCCUUUCAUAUAUUGCACUUAUCUUAUUGUGGAGUCAAAGAUAUGCUAAACACUAUAAUAUGAGUUAGGGCAUCUUCACUGUUUUCUCUCUGUUAAAAGGUUUUUGUAUUACCCUAUUUUUCUGUUCCUUGAAUGGCAAAAGUGAGGAAAAAAUAUCUUGGCUCUGUGUUUUCUCUGGGAAAACUUUUGGAUAAUGAUUCAAUCCCCUAAUAAUUAUGGUAUAAUUCAGAUUUCUUAAUUCCUCUUAAUUUUGUUUUAGUGAAAUAUACAAUACUGGGCCUAUCCCAGCAUUUCAGGGGUUACUGUUUGCCCAGUCGAAUUUUCUCCAUGCUUCGACUUGGAGGUGCAUGUGAGAGUGUACUUCCAGACUCUCAAGUGCUUAUCAUUUAGUUGGGCUUGUUGCAAAGAGACUAUAACUGAACUUUCAUUUCUGAAUAAAAUGGUGGUUUCUAUGUUUUAACUUAAAGAUUUAUUUAACGUACAUUCAUAGUGAUGGUUGUGUAAAUGUGUAGAUUUUUUUGUAGUAUACAUUUUAAUGUUUUCCAUUUUUAUCACAUUUUAUACACUCUUUUGCUGAAUCUUUUGGAUUAUGUCUUUUUUUCUUUUAUCUAGGUCAUUUAUUUUAAAGAAACCAUUUAGUAGAACCAAUACAAGAGUAUGAGAAGAGGGAAAAGAGGAGGUUGGAAGAGGGGGAGAGAAUGAGGUCUGCAUCAAUGUCAGUGUGGAAACAGAUACAUUGCCUACUUUUAAACACUCACAUUUAAAAGGAAAAUUUAAAUUUAAAAAUUUAAAAAAUUUAAAAAAAAUUUUUUAAAUGAAAAGCAGACACGUUUGGCUGAACUAAAACCAAGAAACACAACCCAAACUGCUCCACAAACCAAAAAGGUCCACAGAGAAUUCAAUUACCCAUUUUUCCACUUAGAAAUCUGUCUACCAAGUGUAAUAUGUGUCGCUACUCAGGAUGGGGCCCAGCACAGAAGGAAACCCAGCCUCCUGAGUCUCUUAGAUCCCAUCCUGUGGGAAGAGGAGUCAAGGAUGCCGGGUGGGAGUGACCUGAACAAGGGAGGGACUUGAAAACAUGGGGAAGAUAAAGAUACAGAAUGGGGUAAUGGACCGUAUCAAAUGGAGUAUGGAGGACAGGUGGAUGCAUCCUUUGAAAAAAAGAAGUUGACUUAAAAUAUUCAAUUUUGUAAAUAAUUAUACAGAAGGAUUUCUGGUAACUUCCUUUCUGGUGUCUUCUUUGUCUUCCCUA